UUCGGUGAGCUGCACCAUUGCACUCCGGCCUGGGCAACAAGAGUGAAACUCCGUCUCAAAAAAAUAAAAUAAAUAAAAUAAAAACUAAAAAAGAUGUCCAGUAGGCAAAAGUCAGUUGAGUUUCUUCAUAUCACCAAUAAUGGAUGGAAAUAAUUGGAACUAGAAAUAUUAAAAUACCAUUUACAAUAGCACCCCUGAAGCUGAAUCCAUUAAGUAUCAGCGUAACAAAAGGUGUGCAAACAUGCAUUCGGAAAACCAUGAAUCACAGUUGAGAGAAACCAAAAGAGGUAUAAGUAAAUGCAGAGAUGUUCCUUAUUUAGGAGAAGUACACUCAUUAUUGUGAAGGUGACAAUUCUUUCCAAAUCGAUCUAUAGAUUCAGCCAAAUCCCAGUUAAAUUCCAGGCAAAGAUAUCGACAAACUGUUCCUAAACCCAGAAUGGAUGAAAUAAGACUGAAGGAGAACAAAGUUAAAGACCUCACACAUCUGGAUCUGAACACUCACCCUAAAGCCACAGUAAUGAAGAGAGCGUGGCAGUGGUGAAGCGGUUAGACACAUAGAUAAGUGGGACAGAACAGAGAGCCCCCAAACAGACUCAAGCCAACUGACUUUGUCAAACGGACAAAGGCAACUCAGUGGAGAAAGAGAAGUCUGUUCCACAAAAGACAACAGAACAAUUGCAAACCAUAGGGGAAAGAAAUGAAUGGAGACAAAAACCUUGUAUUUUAUCCAAAAAUUCACUCAAAAUAGUCCAUAGACUUAAAUUUUCAAGUGCAAAGUUGUGAAAGUUAUAGAAGAAAGCCGAGAAAAAUAUCUGCAUGGCCUUGGUUUGGGUGAUGAGUUUCUAGAUGCAAUACACCAAAAGCCAACCCACAAAAGAAAACAAAACAAUAACGGGGACUUUAUUAAAAUUUAAAAUGGCUGCUCUGGUUAAGAGAACAAAAAAGCAAUUCACAGACUGAUUGAUAGAAAAUAUUUGGGAAACAGCCGGGCAAGGUGGCUCAUACCCAUAAUCGCAGCACUCUGGGAGGCCAAAGUGGGUGGAUCAUUUGAGGUCAGGAGUUCGAGACUAGCCUGGCCAACAUGGUGAAACCCCGUCUCUACUAAAAAUACAAAACAAAACAAAAAAAAUUAGCUGGAUGUGGUGGCACACGCCUGUAAUCUCAGUUACUCGGGAGGCUGAGGCAGGAGAAUUGCUUGAACCCAGGAGGCAGAGGUUGCAGUGAGCUGAGAUCGCACCACUGCACUCCAGCCUGGGUGAUGGAGUAAGACCCUGUCUCAAGAAAAAAAAAGAAAAUAUUUGGGAAACACAUCCGAAAAAGGACUUGUCUGCAAAAUAUUUUUUUUUAAAAAAAACCUCUAAAACUCAAAAAGAAUUAGAUGAACAACCCAAUUGAAAAUAUGUGAAGAUCUGAAAAGACACCUCAGCAAAGAAGAUGCACAGAUGCCAAAUAAGCAUCCAAAUUAAUUAAUUCUCAACAAACUUGUCCUGAGGGAAAAGCAGAUUAAAUGAGAUAGUACUGUACAUCUAUUAAAAUGGCUAAAAUCUAAAGAACAGUAGCAAUUGCAAUAGGAGGUCUCAUUCAUUGCUGGGGGAAGGCAUAAGGGUACAGUCACUUCAGCAGUUUUUCCAAAAACUAAACAAGUCUCACCAUCUGAUCCAACAAUCUCCUUCUUAGGUAUUUAGACAACUGCCUUGAAAAAUUAUGUCCAAGUAAAAACCAGCACACACAUGUAUAGAAGCACUAUUCAUAAUAGCCAAAAAUUAAAGGAAUCAUGACAUUCUUCAGUAGCUGAAUGCAUAACCAAACUGAAGUAUGCGGUGCAAUGGAAUGCUAUUCAGCAAAAGAAAGGCAUGACCUAUCCACCCACGCUACCCGGAUGGACCUCACAGGCACACUGCUUCAUGAGAGAGAAAGUCAUGACCUAUCCACCCACGCCACCUGGAUGGACCUCACAGGCACACUGCUUCAUGAGAGAGAAAGAAAGGCAUGACCUAUCCACCCACGUCACCCGGAUGGACCUCACAGGCACACUGCUUCAUGAGAGAGAAAGAAAGGCAUGACCUAUCCACCCACGCCACCCGGAUGGACCUCACAGGCACACUGCUUCAUGAGAGAGAAAGAAAGGCAUGACCUAUCCAUCCACGCUACCCGGAUGGACCUCACAGGCACACUGCUUCAUGAGAGAGCCAGGAUGCAGAGGCUGUACGUCCCCACUUAUAUGACAUGCUGGAAAGGCAAAACAACAGAGAUAGCAAACUGAUCAGUGGUGACACGGGAUUCAUGGCGGUGGGGAUUUGAAGUACUCCAUGUGAUACUUUAACUGUGGAUACCUGUCC
rnacentral:lncRNA from 10 species